AAAACAGACAGAGUGGAUACAUACUGGGCCCUUCUCCUGCCCCCACCUAUGCUGCAAGCAACCAAGACCCUGAGAAGAAGACAAGACUCCAACACAGGAGAUAAUAUACAGGGCUUCCAGUUUCCAAAGCUGAGGUGAUGUCCCAGCUGGAACCGGGGGAAGAGGUGUGGGUCUCAGAUCUCCAGGGCCCUGAGGGAAGAGAGAGCCUGAGAGGAACCUGCACAGCUUCUGAGGUUUCUCUCUCUGGCCCAGGAGACGAUGGGAUGGUGAGUGAGAACAAGGAGCAGAAUCCACAGCAGGAAGAUGCUGAGCACGUGGAACUGCAAGGGCGAUUACCAGAAGGAACUCAAGGGAACGUGUCCAGGAGUCGUGAAGAGAGGCAGCAGGGAAACAAAUCAGGGGAGAAAGUGGGUAAAUCCAUCAGCUGUGAGGAAAAUCUCAAGGACCUCAAGGAAACCACAGCCCAGCAGAGAAUCCUCAAGGGAGAGAGAGACAAAACAUGUGCCCUGAGUGUGGGAAAACCUUCUCUUGGCUCUCACACCUUAUUAGACAUCAGAGAAUGCACAAAGGUGUGAGUCCCUGUGAAUGCUAAAACAACGAGGAGUACUUGUGGCAUCUUAGAGACUAACACAUUUAUUUGGGCAUAAGCUUUCGUGGGCUAAAACCCACUUCAUCAGAUGCAUGGAGUGGAAAAUACACUAGGAAGAUAUAUAUACAAAGUACAUGAAAAGAUGGGAGUUGCCUUACCAGUUCUAACGAGACAAUUGAAUUUAAAGUGGGCUAUUAUCAGCAGGAGGAAAAAUCACUUUUGUAGUGGUAAUUAGGGUGGCACAUUUCAAACAGUUGACAAGAAGGUGUGAGUAACAGUAGGGGGAAAAAUUAACACGGGGAAAUAGUUUCUAGUUUGUGUAAUGACCCAUCCACUCCCAGCCUUUAUUCAGGCCUAAUUUGAUCGUGUCCAGUUUGCAAAUUAAUUCCAGUUCUGCAGUUUCUCAUUGGAGUCUGUUUUUGAAGUUUUUUUGUUGAAGAAUUGCCACUGUUAAGUCUGUAAUGAAGCAUCCAGGGAGGUUGAAGUGUUCUUCGACUGGUUUUUGAAUGUUUUAAUUCUUGACAUUUGAUUUGUGUCCCUUUAUUCUUUUGCGUAGAGACUCUAAGAUACAACCGCAUUUGCUCCAAUCCCUCAGACAGAGACAAAUACUUACACAAUCUCUAUCAAGUGUUCUUAAAACUACAACACCCACCUGCUGAAGUGAAGAAACCGAUUGACAGAACCAGAAAAGUACCCAAAAGAAGUCACCUACUACAGGAUAGGCCCAACAAAGAAAGUAACAGACUACCACUAGCCGUCACCUACAGCCCCCAACUAGAAACCUCUCCAGUGCAUCAUCGAGGAUCUGCAACCUAUCCUGAAGGAUGGUCCCUCACUCUCACAGACCUUGGGAGACAGGCCCCCAACCUGAAGCAAAUACUCACCAGCAAUGACACACCACACAACAAAACCACUAAUCCAGGAACCUAUCCUUGCAACAUACCCCAUUGCCAACUCUGUCCACAUAUCUAUUCAAGGGACACCAUCAUAGGAUCUAAUCACAUUAGCCACGCCAUCAGGGGCUUGUUCACCUGCACAUCUACCAAUGUGCUAUAUGCCAUCAUGUGCCAGCAAUGACCUCUGCCAUGUACAUUGGCCAAACCGGACAGUCUCUAUGCAAAAGAAUAAAUGGACACAAAUCAGAUGAGAUCAGUCGGGCGGAGAAUU